AUUGAACGCUGGCGGCAGGCCUAACACAUGCAAGUCGAGCGGAUGAAGGGAGCUUGCUCCUGGAUUCAGCGGCGGACGGGUGAGUAAUGCCUAGGAAUCUGCCUGGUAGUGGGGGAUAACGUCCGGAAACGGGCGCUAAUACCGCAUACGUCCUGAGGGAGAAAGUGGGGGAUCUUCGGACCUCACGCUAUCAGAUGAGCCUAGGUCGGAUUAGCUAGUUGGUGGGGUAAAGGCCUACCAAGGCGACGAUCCGUAACUGGUCUGAGAGGAUGAUCAGUCACACUGGAACUGAGACACGGUCCAGACUCCUACGGGAGGCAGCAGUGGGGAAUAUUGGACAUUGGGCGAAAGCCUGACCCAGCCAUGCCGCGUGUGUGAAGAAGGUCUUCGGAUUGUAAAGCACUUUAAGUUGGGAGGAAGGGCAGUAAGUUAAUACCUUGCUGUUUUGACGUUACCAACAGAAUAAGCACCGGCUAACUUCGUG
rnacentral:rRNA from 1 species